GACGAACGCUGGCGGCGUGCUUAACACAUGCAAGUCGAACGGUGAAGCGCCUUCCUUUUUGGUGGGUGUGGAUGAGUGGCGAACGGGUGAGUAACACGUGAGUAACCUGCCCCCUUCUUCUGGAUAACCGCAUGAAAGUGUGGCUAAUACGGGAUAUUCUGGGUCUGUCGCAUGAUGGGUCUGGGAAAGAUAUUGUUUCGGUGGGGGAUGGGCUCGCGGCCUAUCAGCUUGUUGGUGGGGUGAUGGCCUACCAAGGCGGUGACGGGUAGCCGGCCUGAGAGGGUGGACGGUCACACUGGGACUGAGCCCCGGCCCAGACUCCUACGGGAGGCAGCAGUGGGGAAUAUUGCACAAUGGGCGCAAGCCUGAUGCAGCGACGCCGCGUGAGGGAUGGAGGCCUUCGGGUUGUGAACCUCUUUCGCCAGUGAAGCAGGCCUGCCUCGUUUGUGGGUGGGUUGACGGUAGCUGGAUAAGAAGCGCCGGCUAACUACGUG
rnacentral:rRNA from 1 species